UGAGCUCAAUCAAUCUACUACUGCACCUCUGUUGCCAGGGUGUUCAGUUUUGGUGUCUUGCUCUGCUUCCCACCAUCUUGGUCCUCCUGAGUGAACUGCUUCUCUGGCCCUCAACCAUCAUGCUUUGAGUGCUCUCUGCUGCUCAGAGUCCAUCUAGGCUGGGUUUGCCUUUCCAAGGACAGUGAUGAAGACACUCCCAGAAGCAGUACCCUCUAAAACUCUUGAGCUGGAAACUCCUAAACCCAUGGGCAUUCAUCAAUUGCCAUUCACUUCCAAGUCUUCUCUGUCCAUGGAUGUAUGUCAAGGAGAAACCAGCGUUCCAUAGGAGCUGUCCCUUGGGUAUGAAGUAAGAAGAACCUAGAUCAUAACAGUGCAACUUUAAAAAUGGAAAAGAAGGGGUGAAUCCAGAAACAUCCUCAAGAAGGAACUGAUUGACCGGCUAUGGGGAAGGAGUGAAUUAGAAGCAGCAAAAAUGCCUGAGGUUUUUAACCUGAAGGUGUCACUGACAAGGAAAAGGAAAUCAGGAAAGGAAAAAAGAUGAACGCUAGAACAAAUUAUUUCUUAGUAAUUAUACAAGAAGGUGGGUCAAAGCUAUGUUUUUCUCCAAAGAAGGAAAAAU
rnacentral:lncRNA from 10 species